rnacentral:rRNA from 1 species
AACGGCCAUACCAUGCUGAAUAUACCGGUUCUCGUUAGAUCACCGAAGUGAAGCUUCAUCGGGCGCGGUCAGUACUUGGGUGGGUGACCACCUGGGAACACCGCGUGCCGUU